CCUACCCAAAUCCUAUAAAACGGCCCCACCCUUAUCUCUCUUCGCUGACUCUCUUUUCGGACUCAGCCCACCUGCACCCAGGUGAAAUAAACAGCUUUAUUGCUCACACAAAGCCUGUUUGGUGGUCUCUUCACACGGACGCGCAUGAAAGGUACUAAAUAAUAUUAUUUAAUAGUUGUCGAUUUAUACAGCAUACCAUUAAUGUUAAAACCGCUGUUGCAAGAGCAUUUAGACUCUUUUUUCAUAUGCUAUGUGGGAGGAAUGCUUGACUUCUAUUUUCCAUAAAUAUUGUAUAUAUACCUAGACUAAAAUGUCCUGUGUUUUCCACUGACAGCACUGAAUGGCAUCCUGCUAUCUUCAGGCAUCUCAAAUUGAAGUCACUACAGUUGGCUGGUACAUCAAGGGGCCAGCAGGGGCCACAGCACCAAAUCUUCUCUCACCAUUAUCCCAGAUAAAAAGAGUGUGCUGCCUGUAGCUGCUAGCACACUUUCUUUGAUAAGGGAGCACCCCAUAAGCUGUCCUGGAAAGGAAGGUGUUAGUUAAGUUGUGUUGCAGGUUGGAUUCUCCAGAGGCAGAUGCCUAGAAGUUUGGGGCCCAAGAGGUUUAUUUGGCACCAACACCUGUGGAAGAGAGAAGAAGCAGGAUUGGGCAGUGAAAGAUGUCCAGCAGUGAUAUGGGCAUGACAAAGUCUUGGCCAGAGGCUGUCUCUGUACCACCCACAGUGGGAUAUGUGCAGUGCAGUGACAUGAUGAUAGCUCACUGCAGCCUCAACCUCCCAGGCUCAGGCGAUCCUCCUGCCUCAGCCUCCUCAAGUCCUCCUUUGAAGAGGUAGCUGGACAUCACAUCAUUGUCUACCACGUAGUGUGUCUAGAUAAGGCUGGGAAAAGUGAGGUGGGUUAUCCCUGGGCAUCCUCUGGUUUAACAAGAGUAGGAACUCAGUUGACUGCUCUUGUUUCAUAUACCAUUAGACAAAUCCACAGCAGAAAGUGAAAGCACUGCCAGGUACAGUGACUCAUGCCUGUAUUCCUAGUGUUUAGGGAGACUGAGGCAGGAGGAUCGCUUGAGGCCAGGUGUUUGAGACCAGCCUGGGCAACAUAGCAAGACCCUGUCUCUACAAAAAUUUAAAAAAUUAGCCAGGUGUGGUGGUACACACCUAUAGUGCCAUCUACUCAGCAGGUUGAGGGAGGAGGAUCACUUAACCCGGGAGGCUGAGGCUGCAGUGAGCUGUGAUCACACCAAUGCACUUCAGCCUGGGCAACAGAUUGAGAGCCUGUCUCAAAAAAAAAAAAAAAAAGUGAAGGCACCAAGUGGCAAUUGUCACAGGCUGUGGCCUACUCAGGAAGCAGACUUGGAGAUGGAGAGUGGUGGACAGGAGGUUUGCUAGGGAGUGGUCUUGGGAUCACCACCUCUGGAAGGGGAAAGGAAGAAGGAUGGGGCAGGAAGAGAAGUUGGCUGAUGCAUUAGUCAGGGUUCGCUAGAGGGAAAGAACUAAUAGGAUAGAUGUAUAUAUGAAGAGGAGUUUAUUAGGGAGAAUCAACUCACAAGAUCACAAGGUGAAGUCCCACAAUAGGCUGUCUGCAAGCUAAGGAGCAAGGAAGCCAGUCUGAGUUCCAAAACCUCAAAAGUAGGGAAGCCGACAAUGUGGCCUUCAGUCUGUGGCCGAAAGCUCGAGAGCCCCUGGCAAACCACUGGUCUAAGUCCAGGAGUCCAAAAGCUGAAGAGCUUGGAGUCUGAUGUUCAAGAGCAGGAAGCAUUCAGCAAGAGAGAAAGAUGAAGGCCAGAAAACUCAGUAAGUCUGCUCUUUCUACCUUUUUCAGCCUGCUUUAUUCUAGCAGCUGAUUAGAUGGUGCCCACCCAGAUUGCAGGUGGGUCUGCCUCUCCCAGUCCACUGACUCAAAUGUUAAUCUCCUUUGACAACACCCUCCCAGACACACCCAGGAACAAUACCUUGCAUCUUUCAAUUCAAUCAAGUUGACACUCAAUCUUAACCAUCACAGCCUAUGAUUCAGCCUCAACAGAGACCAACCACAUGGCCAGCUCUAGACAAAGUGGGGGCCAGACCUUUAUAUCUCCCUAUAAACCAGUUCUUGGCUGUGGGCACCCUGAGAAGAGGGCAUGGUGGUGGGUGAGAUGACACUCUUCAUUUGAAGCAAUUCCGAUGAGGGCUGACAGCUGGGGCUCUCUGCCAGAAGCCCUUGCUGCAGCUGGUGGAGUAGCCCUUCAGUCUUGAGGAGACUCUGGGAUGACAUCACAGCAUCUGCUCCAGAAGUCUGCUGAACCCAUCCUGGCUAACUGUAAUGCAACUAUUAACCAUAAUACUUUCCUUUAAAAAUCUCAGACAAAUGCUGAAAGAGAUAAGAUACUGAGACAGGAAGUGUAAGCUGGAACUGUCUUAAGUGAAUCAGGAAAAAGUUAUCCUGUCUAUAAUGAAGUUCAGGGAGAAAGAACAACUUACAUUGAACAGCCUUGAAGAUUGUUUUAUCAGCUACUCUGGAAUUCAGUGUUGCGCCUCCUGAUUGAUGUGUCUGCUGAUUUUCCUUCAGGUGGUUUCAUUUCUUGUGCUGUUUGUAGUUUUUACUGUUAGCUCCUGCUAAACUGGGGUUGUUUUUCUAAGUAAAUCAUGCCCCCCCGCCAUGGCUCAAUUUUGCAUUUACUUUUGCAAGUAAAAUUUAGGGUUUCACUACUGUAGGAGCAGUUUUUAUAAUAUUCUCUUGGUUUGAGUUUAUUAAACUGGUUAGGCUUUGUAACUUCUGAUACCGUAUCUUUCUGGCUGUGGGCUUUCAAUUUCACAGGCGAUUUUGUUUUCCAUUCAGAUUCCCUGUGAUUCCUUUUCCCUUCCCUCAGCUGGUGGGUAGAGUUUUUACAGUCUUCUUUAUCCAAACAGAGCAGUCCUUUGAGGAACCUCUCUCUAGGCAGGAGUCUUAUUUCCAGCUUCUUGCCUCUCAGAGCCCCAGACCCAUGUCUCCUUUGCUUACAUUGCUUAUGUACAGUGUAAAUCCCAUUCAGAGCUGAUAUCCUACUCACACCCUCUGAGAUUCUUCUCUCAUCAGUUGCGGUAAUUACCAGUCUUGUUUUGAGUUAUGUUUUUAUUCUGAUUUCUCAAAGAUUUCCUCCUUUCCUCUUUCCUUUUAUUUCUUUCUUCCUUCUUUCUUCUGAGUGUAGAAUUUAAUUCUAUAUUAUUGCUCUAUACUUUAACCCAACAUUCCUAUGUGUUUUCAAUAGGAUCAAUAGUAUCUGGGUGUAGUGGUGAUGUUGGUGGAAGGAUGUAAAUUAAUUUUGUUCAUGUUGCCCAAGGAUCUUGAAUGAUCUUUGAAGAAUGAAAUAAAUCAUAUCACUCUGCAGGUUAAAUCAUUUCAUUGACUUGCUAUUGCACUUAAACUCCAAAUUCCUUCUUUUGGGUUUAUAUGUCUUAUACAAGUUGACCCCUAUCUCCCCAUGUAACCAAGCCUUAAGCUUUUCUCUGCAUCAUUCAAACUGCCUUCUUUCUUGCUUUAGAGUCAUUGUUCUAGCUGUUCCUUCUGCCUGAAAUGGUCCCUAGAUCUUUGCAUGGACAUGUGCAUUCUGUCAUCCAGAACACAGAAUUGUCACCUUCUGUGCUACUCCGUUUUCAUGCUGCUGAUAAAGACUGGGUAAUUUAUACAGGAAAAAGGUUUAAUGAACUCACACUUCCACAUGGCUGAGGAGGCCUCACAAUAAUGGUGAAAGGCAAGGAGGAGCAAGUCACGUCUUACAUGAAUGGCAGCAGGCAAAGAGCUUGUGCAGGGAAACUCCACCUUAUUAAGUCAUCAGAUCUCAUGAGACUUAUUCACUAUCAUAAGAACAGCAUGGGAAAGACCUGCCUCCAUGAUUCAGUUACCUCCCACUGGGUCCCUCCCACAACACCUGGGAAUUCAAAAUGAGAUUCAGGUGGGGACACAGCCAAACCAUAUCACCUUCCCAAAAAGAGUUUUCCUGAUCACCCUAUCACUCCCUCCCUCUCAUAACCCUGUGUCAUAGUCUACAUGACACAUAUCACUAUGUUAAUUAUACUUUUAAUUUAUGUUUUUACUUGUUUAUUUCAGAGGCCAGGCUAACAGGGAUUGCUGAUGGGGAAAUAAAGAAAUAAUCAAGGAUGAAUCCUAGAUCUGGGGCUUGAGCAAAUAGAGAGUCUAUCAUCUACGUAGAACUGAAGAUGACAGAAGACACCAAAGGAGGACGGGGGCUUCCAGGAAGAGCCAGUAAGAUGUGCUGAGUAGGAAGAUGUGAAGAAAAUUGUUGAACACAUCUGACAAUAGAAGACCUAAGGCCUAAGAAGUCCAUUUCAAUGAAUCACAAAAGAAAUCAAAGAACAGAAUUUCUCUCUUUUGAAGUAUUGCUUUAUCAAGUGCUGUGUGAAGAAUGGAAACAUGCAACAAUAAAGCCACCAGUCCUGGUGGACCUGAUGGCCUAUGUCUAGUGUGGCGGGGGACAGAUAAGUAAACAGAUCGUCCUAUAUGGGGUAGCCAACGCUAUCAUCUGAUAGAAGUAAGCAUGAGGUACCAGUCAAGUAUGCAAGUAUCUGUGCAUGAGAUGCUAGUCAAGUAUUUGUGUGUGCAUGUGUGAAGGCUUCCUGGAAGAGAUCACUGAAACUCUAAGAGUAGGUAGCCAGGUUAAGAAUGGGGGCAGAGCAGGAUAUUUGAGGCAGUGGAAGCAAUUUGAGCAAUGUGUGGAGCGGAGAGAGAACCUGACUUGUUUGAUAAGCUUGGAAGGUUAAUCAUAGCUAGAACAGGGUAUUGGAAGAGUUUUAUAGAGGAAAAGAUGACUAGAGGUAGGCUGCCAGAUGUUCUCUCCCAAAAUAUUUGACCAUCAGUGUGAGCAGGGCAGAUAUUAGUGUGAUUAUGAAAACAUAUAUGUGUGUGUGUAUAUAUACAUGUAUGUAUAUUUAAAUGCAUUACAUAUUUCAAUCAGUGAUAUGUGUUUUUCUAGGUAUCUUUUUGGCAUAUUUUUAAGAAACGCAUUUCAAAAAUUAAAUGUAGGUGUGAACCCUUCGCCACAUCCAAAGAACCAUUCUUGACACUCAUGCAGAACAUUUUAUGCCCCAGUUUGAAUAUCUGACUUCGGUUUAUCUCACUGAUACCUGUAGCCCCUCCAAAGUAGUGGUAGACAGAGCUGAGACAAGAAAUUUCACAGCUUUUUCCUAUUGUGGAACAAACAAUCAGCGUUUAAAACAUAUUGACUUACUGAAUUAAAGUAAGUCACUCCACCUCUUAAAGACUCAGUCACACAUCCAAUUUUCCAGUGGCCUCUGGCCACUGAGUGUCACAGAGUGUGGAAGCCUGUAGGGGCCAGUCCAGAGGAGAGACCACAUGGCCUGAUUACCCAGUAGAAAUUGAUAUUCACAAAAGAAUGCUGGCUCAAAAAAAUAAAUUGAAAAAAAAAAAACCCCAGCAACACAGUGAACAGGUGGCUUAGUAUGACUGGCCGUGCUUGCACUUUUUAAUGACCUGAUUUGUUUCCAAAAUUUGUUUUAGGUAAUGUAUUAGUCUGUUCUCAUGCUGCUGUAAAGAACUACCCAAGACUGGGUAAUUUAUAAAGAAAAGAGAUUUGAUUGACUCACAGUUCCACAGGCUGUACAGGAGGCAUGGCUUGGGAAGCCUCGAGAAACUUACAAUCAUGGCGGAAGGCAAAGGGGAAGCCAGCAUGUCUCACAUGGCAGGAGCAGGAGGAAUAGAGAGCAGGAGGAGGUGCUACACAUUUCAAAAAGCCAGAUCUCAUGAGAACUCACUCACUAUCAUGAGAACAGCAAGGGGGAAGUCCGCCCCCAUGACCCAGUCACCUCCCACCAGACCCCUCCUCCUCCAACACUGGGAUUACAAUUUGACAUGUGAUUUGGGUGGGGACACAGGGUCAAACCAUACCAGGUAACAAAACUCCAGUCUCAAAAAUGGUAAGUCAAUUUUAUUUCUAUUCUUAAAACUGGUGUUGAUGAUGAUGAUGAUAGCAGUUAUUUGUACAGUAACAUGCCCAAGACAAAUCCCAAGAGAGGAACAUAAACAAAAUCAAGUGGGGAGAUUUGACUUUGCCCAAGUUCUUCUCAACUAGAAAUUUCUAAAGGUGUUUUGUGUGGAGUGCUGCGCUAUGUGCAGUUUUCAGCUAUUUAACCUCAAGGAUGUCAAACUGUUGGAAGAGAUUCAAAGAAGGAUAAUCAAACUUGGAUGGAGCUGACUUUAAGAAAUGGGCUAACCUCCAGAAAGAAUGCCAUUGAAUUCAGAGAGAGGUGCCGUUGAAUCAGCCCUUGCUGAUGAAGCCUCUUCACUGUACUGCUCAGACCUCUCCAUCCUGGUGGCAAGGGCUUAGACCAUUAUUCAUGGUCUGACUGGCCUCGAGGUGGCUGUCUCGCCUUUGAAAAAGGGCAGACACAGAGCAUGUUCAGAGCACGGAGCCAUACUGUGCGAUUUCUUCAAAGAGAGCUUAACCACAGAAUUUGGAUUAAUGAAUGACGUAACUGCUUCAGGGCAACAGACCCUCACUGCAGCUGCUUAGCCCAGGAAGCAGCAAGGUCAAUACAAGGAGAGCCACAGGCCUGGGGAGACGCGUGCCUUCCUUCCUGGCCAGGUGGAUCUCACUACUUAGCCCAGAUGGCCUGCGAGAAGGACAAAGCCAAGCACUUCACAACAGUCAGUUGCUGUCCUGAAGAAGGUGGCCAGGAGCUCUAGAAGGAUUCAAAGCCACAGGGAUUUUUGGUUUUUAUGUAUACACUUCUCUUUACAUACUUGUUCCUCAACAUCCAAUCAGCCUUGCAGGGAGGAUAUAAUAGCCAGAAAAAUAAGUGAACAGAAGAUUCCGGGUUCUACUUUAUGCCAAUUUUUCUUAAAUAUCUCAGUCACUAGAAAAGGAUCUAUUUGAAAAUCUUGCUCUGAGCAGUUUCUGUCUUGGGCCCAGUUGUUUGAGGAGCCUGUUGAAUUUUUAAAUUUAUUAGUGUUCCCAUGCUUCAUUCAUUGGCAUAUAUGUAUAUUCUUUAUACUUUAUAAUUACAAGUAAGCUCUUGAUAAUAAAAAGUAACUGUCA